rnacentral:rRNA from 1 species
GGAAUAUUGGACAAUGGGCGCAAGCCCGAUCCAGCCAUGCCGCGUGAGUGAUGAAGGCCCUAGGGUUGUAAAACUCUUUCGGCGGGGACGAUAAUGACGGUACCCGCAGAAGAAGCCCCGGCUAACUUCGUGCCAGCAGCCGCGGUAAUACGAAGGGGGCUAGCGUUGUUCGGAAUUACUGGGCGUAAAGGGCGCGUAGGUGGCCUGUUAAGUCGAACGUGAAAUCCCCGGGCUCAACCCGGGAACUGCGUCCGAGACUGGCAGGCUCGAAUCCGGGAGAGGGAUGUGGAAUUCCAGGUGUAGCGGUGAAAUGCGUAGAUAUCUGGAGGAACACCGGUGGCGAAGGCGGCAUCCUGGACCGGUAUUGACGCUGAGGCGCGAAAGCCAGGGGAGCAA